AGCUUUCGAUAUAGAAAUCAGGUGCAGCCAUCUCCCUAAAAGUCCUCUCAUGAGGUGGAGGUUGUGCCAUAUUGUUCUCAGUGUGAAAAACAACAGAGUCAGAAUUAGAAUCAAGUGCAGAUGCAACAGAUGCAGUGGAUGCAGUAUGCACAGAGUACUCAGCAGUGGGAUGCACAGUAUCUAAUGGAACAGACUCAAACUCAGACUCUAAAGACAAAUUCCUAAAAUGCCUAGCUAACCUAUGAAAAGUCCUAUCAAUCUCAGGAUCCUAUCCCGUGACGGCCCCCCUCACAAAAACCUAGGACCAAGUGUCACUAAAAAAUUGGGGUGGGGUCCACC
rnacentral:lncRNA from 1 species